rnacentral:lncRNA from 1 species
GAUCUAGACCAGACUGCGUGGAUGUGCAGGCUGAUUUUGGUCUGCACUGGUCGCAAAGGCAGAAACAUUCGCCCUGUUUAAUUGCAAAAUAAAAUAUCAUGGAAAUCGCUGAAUCUGUAGAACUUUGCUUUCAUUAGUCAGGUAUUGUUGACAGUUGCAAUUGAUGCAAUACAACCAGUUUUCAUUUAAAUUAAAAGAUGCAUGAAAAAUGUAUCAGUCAUAACUAAUACGUCAAUAUGGAAAGCUAAAUGAUUUUUUACUGCUCUUCUAAGUCACUUGGAAAUUACAUGUAAACAUAAAAUUCAUUUUGCAGGAAUAAAAUUUCACUCUUUGCUCUUGGUAGAGAAAAGACGGACAAAGUUGUAUAAUUGAUAUUGGAAGACCUUUCAAAUCUCUGGUAUUUGAAGACGUUUUACAAUAUACUUUUGCUGUAUGUAAUUUUUCUUCUUAGCAGUUGAAGUAAUAAAGUUUAUUGGAUUAAAAAUUAAGAAGAAUAGAAUGUAACUAUACUUUUUGAAGAGCGCAUCAUUUUCAUUUUUCAGAUACCUGUAAUGGCAUAACAUUUAUAGUAAUUUAUAUACUUUUUUGCAAUAUUUUCUCUUACAUUGUAUACAUUUUGAUAUAGAAAUAUCUACUAAAAGCAAUUUUUAAUUAUCUCUUUAUGAUUUUAAGUUAUUGAAUACCUCGAUAUACAGUCGGCUCUUUUGAGUUGGAGAAUGAAAUGUAAUUACUGCAAUCAUGAAUUUGACAUUGUUAGACUGCAGUACAACUUGGCAUCCUUCAGGCGUUUUGACCUAAAUGGCAAUGAAAUUGAUAAAACUCUCUUUUUAAGAAAAAGCCCAAAUAUUUUUCUGCCAAGAGUAGAAAUACAGAUACUGAUUACUGCAGAUGGCUUGCAGAAUGUUGGUGGUUCUAGUCUGUACGUAAAAUAAUCCCCGAAAGAGCACAUGGUGUUUACAAACCACUGAAGCUGCACAGUCUCCGUAAUUAUGACCAAAAUUAGUUCAAAUUGUCUAAUAAGCAGCCAAUUAACAAAAUUAAUCUGUGAUAAGAGAGUGAUUUGAUGAAUUUCGUGCGUAUAUAAUUGCAUAUACAGUAUUUCGAUGAUACAUCUGUAAUUCUGUAAGGUUAUAGACUUUUUGAGUGAGUAAAAUCUGAAUGAAAAUUUUGUAAUUUGAAGAGAAACUGAUACAAUAAAAGCAGUUGAUACAGAAUGUAGAAUCGUGAAGUUUUGGGCAAGUAACAUGUGUCGGCAUGCCUUGCUCUGUUGCUCAGCACUGUUUUAUGUUAAGAAAAUCUCUAAAACGUUAUAAAUUUGUUGUCGAGAACUAUUGUAACAUAGUAAGAAAUUGUUAAAACAUCAAGAAAAUUCACGUUUUUUCAACUAUUUUUCAACUCAUAUUUCAUAUUACAUAGACAAAAAGUGUCCGCAAUGCAAGAAUUUUUAGAAUAUUUUUGAUGGGGUGAGUUUCAGUUCUGGCAAUAAAUUUAUGAAGUUUUUCUGAGGUCAUGUUUCCUUGAUAACUUACAAAUAUUGUAUUAAAUAGCUGUACAUUUUUGGAGAAAAAGAGAGAGAUAUAUAUAUAUAUAUCCUGUAAAUAUGUACAGAAAUUGUAAAUAUGAUAAAAAUGAGAGUGUUGUGUGUAUAUCAGAAAGAGUAAUUUUCUAUAAAAAUGGUAAAAAAAAGUUGGACAGAUAUAAAUGAUAAAAUGUUACAUGUGUUUUUACUUGCAUAAUGUUUAACUGUUAACUCAAAAACUGAACUUUCUAUUUAUUUUAUGUUGGGGAAUAUGUUGUAAUCCAAGUGAAGAGGCAAUUUUUUAUUGGUUUCUGAUAGAUUCCAGAAAUUUGGCUUACUGUGCACUUACAAAAAAAUGGCAAACAGUUGAUAAUUGUCACUUGUCAGAAUGUAGUUCAGAAAAUUGCUUACUGCACACUUAAAAAAAAGCAAACAGUUCAUAAUUGUCACUUGUCAGAAUGUAGUUCCAACCAUUUACUUUAAGAUAAUGAAUUGUAAUGAAAUUAACCUUUUCUAAAUUACAGAAAUAUUCUUAUCUUUGCUUGAUGAAAUAACAGCUAAAACGUUUUCUCUGAACGCUUAUUUCUUAAGGCAACAAGGCAACCAUAAAAGUUCUAGAAAAUUGCAGUUUAUGGGAGUUCAGUAUUAACGACUUGAAAGUUUGGGCUGUAUUGUGUGUAUUGGGAUGUGUAACUUGUGUAGUUUUAAAGCUUUACUAAUCUGCAUACCAAAUUCCAUCGACAUAGGCUCAAUCAAAUUUUGUUCCAAUUUGCAUAAUGUCUCUGCUACUUCCUUUUAUUGUGGUAUUAUAAUGAUACCAGAUUUCUCAGAAAAGUUUAUAUAAUCAGUUAAUCAGACUAGAUUGAUUUACUUGAUUUAUAAUGGAAAUCAUAUUUUAUAAGUGAUGUUUUUUCGGAAGAAUGUUUUUACCAAGAGUUGUCAUACCAGUAGCAGCUUUAACACGUAGAAGCUACCAAAUUACAGUUGGAGUGAAUAAUUGUAACAUAUUUAUUUAUGCUUAGUUUCAUAUAAAAUAUAUAUUCAACCUAACAAAAAAAACAGAAUCAAAUAUUUAUGAAAACUCCUUACAUAAUGUUCUAUUUGUAAAUUAUUUCAAAAGCAUUCAUUUGUCCAAAUUGCUGGUUUUACACAAUACAGCUUUUAAUAAACUUUGACAGGAUGACAGACCCCUCUUCUUUCUCACACUAAAAAGUGAGCAUUAAAUUGAUGAAGAAUAUUUAGAGUACACGUAAAACAACAAUUUUGAUUUUUCUUAUUGUUUGACAACUCUUAGAAAAACGAAGUCUUAUAGAAUAUUACAUGUAGUUUGAAAAUGAAUGGUACUUGAAUAGAUCAUAAUAAUUGUGCAUAUAUAUCAAUCUGCUACUGUUUCUUUCAUCAUAAAACUUCUGAUCUGUUGACUUAAUGUAUUUGAUGCUUGUUUUCUUUAAUAUACAUGUACUGUUGAUUUUGUAAUAAUGAUCUAAUGAAAUUUUUAAUUGUGCAAUUGUUUUGUACUUCAUUAUGUAUAUUGAAGAUUUUCAUUAAAAAUCUCAUGAAACUAAAAA